UUUUUUUUUUUUUUUUUUUGUCUUUUAGGGCCGCACCCAUGGCCUAUGGAAAUUCCCAGCUUAGGCGUCCAGUCAGAGCUGUAGCUGUUGGUCUACGCCAGAACCACAGCAGCGUGGGAUCCAAGCCGUGUCUGCGACCUACACCACAGCUCUAGGCAAUGCCAGAUCCUUAACCCACUGAGUGAGGCCAGGGAUCGAACCCGCAUCCUCACUGAUGCUAGUCAAGUUCAUUAACUGCCGAGCCACGACAGGAACUCUCUAGGUAGGGCUUUUUGGUUUUUUUGGCCACACCUGAAGCACACAUAAGUUCCCAGACAGGGAUCGAACUUGCACCACAGCAGUGACAACGUCGGAUCCUUAACCCACUGAACCACCAGGGAACUCCUAGGUAGUUUUAUUUGGGACUAUUAUAAUGGAUAAUGCUGCUCUGAGUAUCUUAUAGAUGUUUUUAAGUUGGCAUGCUUUUGUAGUUGAAAAUGUGAGCUAGGUUCUGGUAGCUGAGUGUUGAUGAGCAUGUGCACAUUUCUGUUGGGAAGGCUCCAGUGGCUCACAGGGUGUACGUGUGUUCGGCUUUCGUGGGCAUAACCACUUUGGAAGAGUACGGCCGGAAUGGUCCUGGAGGGAAGGGCUGCAGGAGGCGAGGUGUUUGUGAGCUGAGCCUGCAGGCCCCAGGCCGUGCUCCAUUGACCCACUGGGCCUCACUGAGAAAACGGACUCACGGGCGACCUGGGUGCUGGCUGAGAACAGCCCGCCUCCUCUGUGGUCCUGAGCACAUAACCUGUCCGACUGCACUGGGCAGCCACACACCCGCAGUGGCCCUGUCCCUGUGGCACAGUCUGGUCUCGUGUGCCUCUAGUUCCUUUGUCACCUCCAAGCCACACGGGCCGUGAGAGUGCUUCUCUCAAAGAUGGAACUUGCCAGCCAGGGCCUGAGCCCGAGUCACAGCUGUCUUCCUGAAUCAGGCUCUUGAGGCUCUGGUUAGAAAUGCGUGUGUUUUUGUUUUUUUGGGGGGGGUUUUGUUUUGUUUCUUUCUUUUAGAAGUGCAUGUUAAAUGCAACAAAAACUGCCUGCUGUAAUGGACACCGUGGUGUUUCGUGAGUUUUCAUGCGUUAGUGCUUUUCAGGGUAAGAUGUCAAGCUGAGGUGAUAGGCAUUGCUGGGGAGCAACAGAGAGAAAUGUGGACUCUUAGGGUUCGUUCCCAGCUCCUUCCCGCGUCGUCUGCACGGUCCUGAUGGUCUCAUAGCUGGUCAGGCUCUGGACCUGUGGCUUUACUCUUUAAGUGGCUGCUGGCCGCCCUCCCCUGAGCUGGACGAGCCCCCGCUUCUGGGGCAAAGGAAGUGCCUGCUGGGCUCUCGGUGGCCCUUUCAGACCAAUGGUGGUGGCAGCUGGGCCUGGCCAGCAGGCAUGACGGGCUGCUGGUGUGGACGUGUGGCUCCUAGAGCCACAGAAGAGGCAGCCUGGGCUGGGGGAUAAUUUAUGAGUCACCAGCACCGUUCCUUCAAGGUUGUAGUGUAGGCCUCGUUAUUUCCGUCAGAAACUAGAGGAAACUGGUGGUGGAGAAUGAUGAACAUGUGAAAGUAGACAGCGGGUUUGGAAAGAAGAGGAAUUUUUCUUCCAGUUCUGCAGAAGAUAAAGAGGCAGCAUGGGUGCUGUUGUUGCUGGGUUGGCACUGGAGGGCCCCCCUCCUUUUUUUUGGUCCUUUGUCUUUUUAGGGCCACACUCACAGCAUCUGGAGGUUGCCAGUCCAGGGGGUCUAAUCGGAGCUGCUGUUGCCGGCUUACACCACAGCUCAAGGCAACGCCGGAUCCUUAACCCGCUGAACAAGACCAGGCAUCGAACCCGCAACCUCAUGGGUCCUAAACGGAUUCGUUUCCGUUGCGCCACGAUGGGAACUCCUGGAGCCCACUUUUAAUCUCCCGUGUCAGUGCCCCUCCUUCGAGGUGAGCUCACUGGCGUCUCAGGGGCUGCCCUCUUCCACCAGACCUGCGAGCUGAGUUUCUGAGGCUGCUUCUCUUCUGUGAUGUGGCCAGUGCGCCCUCCAGGGACACUGAGUGUCUGUCCAGUUCCAGAGAGGGCUGGUCGGCUGUCCCCCUGGGAUGGCGGGUCAUGAGUACCCCAGAGGUCCUGUGUCCCCUUAGCCAUGGGGCCGCCAGCCUGUUCCUCACCCACCCGUCACCCGCAUCCCAGGAACGGCCAGCGACACUCCCUUAGUCACGCGAGCCAGACGUGAAGCCACGCGUCCUGCGGUCUUCCCGGCUCCGCGCCCACGCCCGUCACACCCCGUCCCCCUCUCUGUCCUCACCGCCCUGGAACAAACCUUACUCCCUGGAGAGCAGUCCGGAGUAUGGUGUCAUCGCAGUGACAGGUUGGUGUGUCGCUCUGACAUUACCUGUGCUGCGUGAGUGACACAGGCGGCAGGGUCGCUUGUGUCAUGUGGCCCUGACCCUGUGUACCCCAGAACCGGGUGGCACUUCCCUGCCUGGCCUGAGGCUGACUGUCAGGCACAUAGACACCCUGGAGGCAGGUGUAGAAUCGAACUGCAGUGAAGCAACGUUUUUUCAUAACUGUGUCAGGCGUCCCACCAGAUCGUCCUUGGAAUUUGAUAGAUUUCUUUUUUUUAAUGUUUUUCUCAUUUAUAAUUUUUAAUUAUUUUUAUUUUUGUCUUUUUGCCUUUUUUUUUUAAGGGCUGCACCUGCAGCACAUGGAGGUUCCCAGGGUAGGGGUCUAAUGGGAGCUGUAGCUCCAGCCUACGCCACAGUCACAGCCACAGCAACGCAGGAUCGAGCUGUGUCUGUGACCCACACCACAGCUCAAGGCAAGGCCAGAUCCUUAACCCACUGAGCGAGGCCAGGGAUCGAACCUGAAACCUCAUGGUUCCUAGUCGGAUUCGUCUCUGCUGCGCCACAACGGACGGGAACUCCGCUGGAAUUUGAUAAAUUUCUGAAAUGCAUAGACUCUCAUGGGAAGAGAGUCAGUGACGAGAAUGUCCCAGAACAGGGCUCUCAGGCUGUCCCUGAGCAGGCCCAGCGCACAGCCACAGGAGUGAGUGGUUUCUAGGCGCUCUGCCCAGCUUACCUUGCCAUGGACCACGACAUAGCUCCUGGCCUGGCACAGGCCCAGCCACACCCAGAGGGGCACAGCCGAGACCAUCAAGCUUUUUGCACUGGACAUCUUGAAAGGUUCUGUUUUUCUUUGAAAUUACUCAGACUUAUAGAAAAGUUGCGAAAAUAGAGCAGAGAUUCUCAUUUUCCCAGAUUCCCAAAUAUUAACAUUUACCACACUUGCUUCAUCACUGUUUUUUUCCUGAAAUGUUUGAGAGUGAGUUGCAUACAUGAUGCAUUUUUUCCUCUAAAAUAUUUCCACGUGUGUGUCCUAAAAAAUUCUCUUCCACACGCAUAGCCCAGUGCCAACACCGCCUAGUGCUGGUGCGACACUGUGACCCCACCUCUGGCUUUCCCUGGACAGGGGCUGUCGUUUGGUGAUGCUCUUUCUCUCACAUUGAAUUUUCCUCUCAUCUGUGGCCGUGCUGUGUCUUCUCUGAUGUUGAGUUUUGGUUUGGUUUGUUUUUUGUUUUUCGUCUUUUUGUCUUUUUAGCGUUGUACCCAUGGCAUGAGCUGUAGCCGCCGGCCUCCACCACAGCCACAGCAAUGUGGGAUCCUUAACCCACUGAGCGAGGCCAGGGAUCGAACCUGCAACCUCAUGGCUCCCAGUCGGAUUCGUUAACCACUGAGCCGCGAUGGGAACUCCUGAUGUUGAAGCUUUAGAAGAGGACAGACCAGUUUUUUAGAAUAUUUGUCUGAUGUUUCCUUUUGGUGAGAUUCAGGUUUGUUUUUAGUGGGAAACCCAGCGAUGAGGCUGGGUCCUCUCAGUGCCCCAGGGCAGGAACCUGUUGUUUGCUGUUUUGUGCUGAGGCCUCUGUUGGUUAAAUUUUCUGAAAUCCUGUAAAAACUGGGGGACUCCAGAGUUAGCCUAACGAUGGCUGUCUGAUUUGCAAUCAGACAUAUUUUUUUGAGUAGGUAGAAAGGGAGCCUGCUGGUGGGGAGAUUUUUCCAACUCAGGAACUGUGUCUAAUCUGGGCCCAAACAGAGAAGAGUGACAGAAGGCUGGGGGACACGGUGGCCAUCCCCCCGGGGCCCUCGGUCGCUACGGGUGCUGAGGAGGAAGGCAGCUCUGCUGUGCUCCCCUUGCUGAGCGGCGCUCUGGAGCCAGAGCACUGCUCCAGCCUGGCUCAUCCUCCUGUUACAGUUAGGGGCCUGGGAUGCAGCCUCUUUCUGAGGCCAGCGCAGCCUCUGAAGUGGCCCAGUUGCACUUGGUUGUAGGGACUAGUUUGCCCAGUUGGUUAAUUGUUUGAAUUUACUUCGCAUAGCAUAUCACUAAAUUUGGCUCCACUUGGCUGGAGCCUUAUUUGAAUAUGGCUUAUUUCUGCAGAGCUCUAUGCUGGUAGUCGGUGUCGAAGUAUUUGCAGCAAGGCCUGGCUUUGUACAUAAAGAACGGGUCUUCAGAAUCCUUAGAUGUUUGCGAAUCUGGAAAUUCAGAGCUCUAGACCCAAGCCAUCGGUUUGCGUGUGUCAUUAGUAUGAGUUUCCAUUCCAGCAAGAAAAAUGCCUGUCAGAGUGCUCAUGUGCUGCAGCGGGACUAACUCUGAGUCUGACUAGUAUCCAGGAGGAUGCGGGUUCGAUCUCUGGCCCUGCUCAGUGGAUCAGGGAUCCUUCGUUGCCGUGAGCUGUGGUGCAGGUUGCAGACGUGGCUCGGAUCCCGCGUUGCUGUGGCUCUGGCGGAGGCCGGCGGCUGCAGCUCCCUUUGGGCCCGCAGCCUGGGAAUUUCCAUGUGCCGUAGGCGUGGCCCUAAAAAGUGGAAGGGAAAAGAGGUGCCAAGUACUGAAGAGCAGGAGAGGUGGAGAGAAGAGUGUCUGCAACUCCGAGUCCUGUUAACACUGUUCGUGUUUAUCCAAGUAAGAGAAACUUAGUUUUACCAGGGUUCUUCUGCCUGAGCGUGGAGCCUUUAGUUUUGAUUUUGUGGCUUGAGAUGUGUGCUUGGGACCUGGUCACUUUUUGUUUAGGGGUUUGUUUAGGGGUCAUUUUUUGUGUAGAGGUUUGCAAUUCUGCUUUCCGGCUUUUAUUGUUCAUUUUGAAAUCCCUCCCUUUCCUCCGUUGGUUGGUUCUUUUUCCCAGGGUUCUCAUACACAGACGUGUGUGUUUAUACUGAGCUUUACCAUCAAAGUGCCUUUAAAGAACACCUGGUACAAAGCGGGGUGAGACACGGUCAGCAUGCGCUUUGCUCUUCUGAUCAGUACGUGCCUCUCUGACCUGAGUGCUUCACGGGAACAAGUUGCGGGACCAGCGGAGAGGCCGCCUCGGGAACUGGUGCAGGGAGGGGCCCGCGUGGGCAGACGUAGCGCCGCCCGGGCCUCUUGGUAGUGGGGGCGGGGGCGGAGGGCUGACGCUCACCUGGUUUGAUCUGCUCUUACAAUGAUUUGCUGCUCUUUUUACUUCUGUGAAACAAUCAAAAUUAUCCCCCUAUUUUUUAUUUUUGGCUUAGAAAAGUCAAGCAGUGGCCAUUCGCAUACCCUAAAGGGGAAUGGUAUUUCAGUAGCUGAACUCCAUAGGGAAAUCAAACUGUUUUGAUGUAUUUGCUCUGAAGGUAACCUACAUAGAAAAACCAGUGAAAAUUAUAACAUAGGUACCCACAUAAUCCCAACCCAGGAAGUAAGCCAUUGUUAACCCCACAGCGUAGAAAAUGCACUGGGAACCCCUGACGUGUUACCACCAUUUUGCUAAUUUCUGUAUCCAUCUACCCUUUAAAAAAACCCUCUCUGUUGAAAUGUACUACGUGUACAGAGAAGCACAUGUACCAUUCAUGUAUAAUUCGAUGAAUCUUCACAAACAGGAACUUACCCGUGUAGUCAGAAUCCAGGCUAAAAACCAGAAAGUUUCCGGAAAACCUGCAUAGCUUUUAAAUGUGUUUCAGGCUCAUACUCGUGUGAAAAGAAGUUCACUCUUAGAAGCAAACACAGAUACCGUGUCUUCACCUGUCAGGCGUCAGAGUCCACUGGUGGCCGGAGCUCCCCCAUACUCUGUCGGUCAGGCUGAUGGCAGGUGGCCGUGUGAGCCCUUGUAGCCUGUGCCGGGGAGACGCCUGUGUCUGCAGUUGGAAACGUUGGGAUGUGAAGGACGCGUGUCCUUGAUGUGGUGCCGGUUACGAAGGCCGUGCUCAGCCCAUCUGUGUGGGUGGGCCUGUGGGUGACAGUGAGGAGUGUGCAGGCAGCGGUCCAGCGUGGAGGGUGUGGUCCUGUUUUGUGGGAAGGAGAAACAGACCUGGAGACAGGUAGGUGCCCCAUGGGGAGGGAAGGGCCCCCCUCAUCACAUUCCCUCUUGGGACUCUGCAGUGCUGCUCCUCUGGUCCAGGCUGGGCUUCCUGGGGGCUCUCGGCGAUGGAGCAGACAACGGCAGGGGCCCAGGGUCGGCUCUAGGAAGAGUAAGGGUUGAUGUCUUGCAGUGGGGCUGAAGGUAGUUUGGUUUUUUCAUUUUCAUGGACAUUUGAGUGUUUGGUAAAAGUCUGAGCUAAUCCUCGUGACAGUCUCAGAGGAGGGUGCUGUUCCCUUUCUGUGGAAUGAGGGGCAGGUGCAGAGGUAAUAGCUCUGCAACGUCCAUGGGCUCUUGCGCUGGGUGAUGGAGCCAGUCCAGUGGCCCAGCCUCCCCGGCGAGCAGUGACUGUCGCCUGAGGCAGGGGCUUGGGAGCUGCGUGCAGGAGGGAGAAGAAGGUCGGGAUGGAGGUUGUAUGUGUCGUGCCAGAGUUAAGGCCGGUGGGGUCGUAAUGACCUUUUCUGGGCCUGGAGUCGAUUAUUCAGAUCUCGUGCUAAAGACAAAGAAGUAAUUGCACAGUAUUUAACUGUGGGCUUCUGUGUGUUUUAGUCAUGUGAUUUGCUUAUCUCAGUUUCUUUUUUAAUGUAUGCAACUGGGCACUUUUUCAUUAAUUCAACAAGUGUAGGGAGUUGCUCUUGUGGCUCAUUGGGUUAAGAACCCAGCGGGUAUCCAUGAGGAUGCAGGUUCAAUCCCUCGCCUCGCUCAGUGGGUUAAGGAUCUGGCGUUGCCAUGAGCUGUGGUUGUAGGUCACAGAUGAGGCUUGGGUCUGGUGUUGCUGUGGCUGUGGUGCAGGCCAGCAGCUCCAGUUCAACCCCUAGCCUGGGAACUUGUGUAUGCCGCAGGUGCAGCCCUAAAAAGAAAAAAAAAAGUUUAAAAAAAAACUGAAGAAGCAAAACAAAAACCAAGUGUAUCCUGAGGGCCUUCUCUGUGUCCCAACAACUCUUCUGGUCUCCAGGUUAUAACGUGAACCCUGCCGUGUUCCUGUGGAGCUUGCGUCCUGUUUGGUGACAGCAAGUGAAUGCGCAGUAACAGUCACGUGGCCAGAGUGAGCUGAAGGACAGGCGGCAGGGAGGCCCUUGGAUGGGUGGCUGAGAGGCAGGGUGUAGCUCUGACCUAGAGUGGGCCGAGGGCUCUGGGCCUUGGGAGUGGGGGGAGGUUGCACCCGCAGGACCUCCCUAGAGAAGCGGCUGUGCCUGCGGGCAGGAGAGACAGAGGCCAGCUUUCCCCGAUUUUAUGGGUGUAUUUGGAGACAGGGCUUUUAGGAUUAAUUAAGAUUAAGUGAGGGACGGAGUUCCCGUCGUGGCGCAGUGGUUAAUGAAUCCGACUAGGAACCAUGAAGUGGCGGGUUCGAUCCCUGGCCCCGCUCAGCGGGGUAAGGAUCUGGCGUUGCCAUGAGCUGUGGUGUAGGUUGCAGACGCGGCUCGGAUCCCGCGUUGCUGUGGCUCUGCUGUAGGCUGGCGGCUAUAGCUCCGAUUGGACCCCUAGCCUGGGAACCUCCAUAUGCCGCAGGAACGGCCCUAGAAAAGACAAAAAAAAAAAAAAAA
ensembl:lncRNA